ensembl:lncRNA
GUAGGAUGGAGAGAGAGAUGGACUACAAACUGGGACAGGUAGGAUGGAGAGAGAGAUGGACUACAAACUGGGACAGGUAGGAUGGAGAGAGAGAUGGACUACAAACUGGGACAGGUAGGAUGGAGAGAGAGCUGGACUACAAACUGGGACAGGUAGGAUGGAAGGAGAGAGAGAUGGGGAACAUGGACUACAAACUGGGACAGGUAGGAUGGAGGGAUGGAAGGAGAGAGAGAUGGACUACAAACUGCGACAGGUAGGAUGGAGGGAGAGAGAUGGGACACAUGGGCUACAAACUGGGACUGGAGGGAUGGAAGGAGAGAGAGAUGGACUACAAACUGGGACAGGUAGGAUGGAGGGAGAGAGAGAUGGGACACAUGGACUACAAACUGGGACA